GCGAGUGAAGCGGCAAAAGCUCAAAUUUGAAAUCUGGCACUUUCAGUGUCCGAGUUGUAAUUUGAAGAAGGUAACUCUGGAGUUGGCCCUUGUCUAUGUUCCUUGGAACAGGACGUCACAGAGGGUGAGAAUCCCGUGCGAUGGGGUGUCCAAUUCUAUGUAGAGUGCUUUCGAAGAGUCGAGUUGUUUGGGAAUGCAGCUCUAAGUGGGUGGUAAAUUCCAUCUAAAGCUAAAUAUUGGCGAGAGACCGAUAGCGAACAAGUACAGUGAUGGAAAGAUGAAAAGAACUUUGAAAAGAGAGUGAAAAAGUACGUGAAAUUGUUGAAAGGGAAGGGCUUGAGAUCAGACUCGGUAUUUUGCGAUCCUAUCCUUCGUGGAAAGGUUUCAUUUGCAGCUUACCGGGCCAGCAUCGGUUUGGAUGGUAGGAUAAUGACAUUGGAAUGUGGCUCUUCGGAGUGUUAUAGCCCUUGUUGAUACUGCCUAUCUAGACCGAGGACUGCGUCUUUGACUAGGAUGCUGGCAUAAUGAUCUUAAGCCGCCC
rnacentral:rRNA from 2 species